ACCACAGCUCUAUAAAAUUUCCCCUUGAGUUUAUGUGGGACUUUCUUGUCACACAGGACUCCUGAUGCAAGCCUCCACUUUGACCUCCCCGCUCCUAUACGAUGAGUGACGUCCCCGUCAAACUCUCCGUCCCCCUGAAUCACCGACCCAAGAUAUCUAACACUGUCCCUCUUGGCGAUGACCUGAGAUCCAAUCAUCACGUCCCUGCCUACUUCACUAGGCUCGGCGCUAAACUUGCACUC
rnacentral:lncRNA from 1 species